UGGGGAAUAUUGGACAAUGGGCGCAAGCCUGAUCCAGCCAUGCCGCGUGAGUGAUGAAGGCCCUAGGGUUGUAAAGCUCUUUCACCGGUGAAGAUAAUGACGGUAACCGGAGAAGAAGCCCCGGCUAACUUCGUGCCAGCAGCCGCGGUAAUACGAAGGGGGCUAGCGUUGUUCGGUUUUACUGGGCGUAAAGCGCACGUAGGCGGACUAUUAAGUCAGGGGUGAAAUCCCGGGGCUCAACCCCGGAACUGCCUGUGAUACUGGUAGUCUUGAGUUCGAGAGAGGUGAGUGGAAUUCCGAGUGUAGAAGUGAAAUUCGUAGAUAUUCGGAGGAACACCAGUGGCGAAGGCGGCUCACUGGCUCGAUACUGACGCUGAGGUGCGAAAGCGUGGGGAGCAAACAGG
rnacentral:rRNA from 1 species